AAAAAUUCAGUUCUAUCCAUUAUGUUUCCCUAAACCUCUUUCUCUCUUCUAGGAAUCGAAGAAAUUAUUUGAAUUAAAAAUGAUACGCUCACCUCAAAAAUUUCUAAACUGAGUAUGCUUUGCACUUGCCUCAAGCUUAAGGAUCCUGUGCAUCAGAAAGGUCCUGUUUUUAUCCUCCAAACCCGAUUUUUAUAAAAUGAAAGUGUUUUCUCACAACGUUCACCCUCUUUGAAGGCCAUGAGUGCCGAGUUUUCGGGUAGUAAUUUGAAAAACCGUUUUCACAUAUGAUUUUCGGAUUUGGUAUUAACUGGAUAAGUGUAUAUCGGCUAGAAAUCCGAACUUGCGGACUACUGGUCCAAAGUACAGUUUUAGCUGUUGUAGUUCUAGUAUAACAACGCCACGUACAACUAUGAAAAAAAAAAAAAAAAGGGAAAGUUGGAAUUUGAUUGGAAUUUAGUUAAUAAUUCAAGAUUGUUUUUGGAAGUGAAAAGGAAGCUAAGCCCAAUUAACAAGUUAAGCCAUCACAAAGAAGAAAUUGCCGUAAUUAAUUAAGCAUGCAUGUGAAUUGCCUAAGCUAAAGUCGGUGGGCGUGCGGGUUGCAAUUUGAAUCCAAUUAACACAAGGCCACAAGGGUUUGGGCAUUAUAUAAAGGUCAUCAAUUGAAGACAGCAGGCAGAGGACGAAUUGAGUAGAGGAGGCAGCCGCUUGAAGAAAAAAAGAAGAAGAAGCCGGAAGGAAUUAAA
rnacentral:lncRNA from 1 species